GUAGUCUCGCACAGAUGCAUAUCAAUAAGCGGAGGAAAAGAAACUAACAAGGAUUCCCCUAGUAACGGCGAGUGAAGCGGGAAGAGCUCAAAUUUGAAAUCUUAAAGGGUUUCCCUUUACGAAUUGUAGUUUAAAGAAGUGUUUUCUGUUGAGGUUUUGGUAAAAGUUCUUUGGAAUAGGACAUCAUAGAGGGUGAGAAUCCCGUAUUUGACCUUUACUUUCAACUUUGUGAUACACUUUCAAAGAGUCGGAUUGUUUGGGAAUGCAGUCCAAAAUGGGUGGUAAAUUUCAUCUAAAGCUAAAUAUUGGCGAGAGACCGAUAGCGAACAAGUACCGUGAGGGAAAGAUGAAAAGAACUUUGAAAAGAGAGUUAAACAGGUACGUGAAAUUGUCAAAAGGGAAGCGUUUGACACCAGUGUUGUUUUUCUGAAAAUCAAUUAAAGAACUGUUUAUGCUAAGUUGUUUAGACUUUAUCAGCUAUCUGUUUAGUUUUGAGCUUUUCUUUAAUGCACUUUUCAGUUAACAAGUCAACAUCAAUUUCUUUUGCUGUAAAAAAGCUUGAGGAAGGUGGCUUGAGAUUCGUCUUAAGUGUUUAUAGCCUCUUGCCUAUGCAGUCGGAGAGAUUGAGGUCUGCAGCGUAGAUCCCUCGGGGCUAAAUGCAUUUGUGCUAAGUUAUAGCAUUUUAUAGACAACUUGUUGACUAUGAUUUGUCUUGUAGCUUACUCGCUUAUGUUAUUUUACCUACGCUUAGGAUGUUGACGCAUGAGAUAUACGC
rnacentral:rRNA from 1 species